CUGGCCUUAACUAUCAGGGGUGUGCAGACCACACCCUUCUGGAUGUUACUGGGUUUCCGGGAAAUGCUGAGUUGAGAGAUGGGCUGAUGAUAAUAAUCAGUAGGCAUCAGAUGGGCACUGCUUUCCCUCCAAUGAAUCUUUGAAGGAUAGGCCUGAGCCUGAGAUGCAGAUUUUUUGUGCUCUGGGUGGUUGGUGUCAACAGAGGCAGAGAAAGAAGCUCUCACUGUAUUUCCUUCUGCUCUAGUUGGUACCAAGUAUUGAAGACACUAACCAGGACUGAACACGGUACUCCCUAAGUUGAAUCUUACAAGAACCCACUGGCUCAGUGAUGAGCUCAACCAGCAGCUGCAGCGGGGCCUUCAGCCUUCACAUCAGAUGGCAGGAUUGUGCCUGUGGUUCACAAGAAGAUUCUACAGGGUGACUGCCCCUGCUGAAGUAGAGAGCACUUUAAUAAGCAUCUGAUCAAACCAAGCACAGAAAGUAUUGGCUUAACUCUUCAUGGCCCUUUAGCGCUUUCAAUCCUUCUAAGAAGGAAAGUUCUGCACUUCUUGGCUUGGUGGGAUUGCUGAUUCUAUUUUAGUCCCAACAUAUUAUACGUGAUAAAUAUAAAAGGGAAUUCAUUUUUUCUGAUAAAAGACGC
rnacentral:lncRNA from 1 species